rnacentral:rRNA from 1 species
GGAUCCAGACUUUGAUUCUGGCUCAGGAUGAACGCUAGCUACAGGCUUAACACAUGCAAGUCGAGGGGCAGCAUGUCGGUUGCUUGCAACCGACGAUGGCGACCGGCGCACGGGUGAGUAACGCGUAUCCAACCUACCCUUGUCCAUCGGAUAACCCGUCGAAAGGCGGCCUAACACGAUAUGCGGUUCGCAGCAGGCAUCUAACGUGAACGAAAUGUAAAGGAGAAGGAUGGGGAUGCGUCUGAUUAGCUUGUUGGCGGGGUAACGGCCCACCAAGGCGACGAUCAGUAGGGGUUCUGAGAGGAAGGUCCCCCACAUUGGAACUGAGACACGGUCCAAACUCCUACGGGAGGCAGCAGUGAGGAAUAUUGGUCAAUGGACGAGAGUCUGAACCAGCCAAGUAGCGUGCAGGAUGACGGCCCUAUGGGUUGUAAACUGCUUUUAUAGGGGGAUAAAGUGUGCCACGUGUGGCAUAUUGCAGGUACCCUAUGAAUAAGGACCGGCUAAUUCCGUGCCAGCAGCCGCGGUAAUACGGAAGGUCCGGGCGUUAUCCGGAUUUAUUGGGUUCAAAAGGAGCGUAGGCCGUCUUAUAAGCGUGUUGUGAAAUGUCGGGGCUCAACCUGGGCAUUGCAGCGCGAACUGUGAGACUUGAGUGCGCAGGAAGUAGGCGGAAUUCGUCGUGUAGCGGUGAAAUCCUUAGAUAUGACGAAGAACUCCGAUUGCGAAGGCAGCCUGCUGUAGCGCAACUGACGCUGAAGCUCGAAAGCGUGGGUAUCGAACAGGAUUAGAUACCCUGGUAGUCCACGCGGUAAACGAUGGAUGCUCGCUGUUUGCGUCUGACGUAAGCGGCCAAGCGAAAGCGUUAAGCAUCCCACCUGGGGAGUACGCCGGCAACGGUGCAACUCAAAUGAAUUGACGG